rnacentral:sRNA from 1 species
UUAAUUGACAUAUUUAGAUUUAUAAUUAUAAUCUUAGAUAAUUAGAUAAUAUUACGAUUAAAUAUAAUUAAUAUUUUGGAUGUUAAAUUAAUGUUUGGGUUUUUGAAUACUCUUUUUGGGUAACGGGUAAUUUCCGGGCCAAUCGGAUAUCCACGGGUUUACUAAAACUCUACCCAAUAAGGAAUUUUCAAAACGCUUGAUAACGCUUGAAACCGCAACCGCCCGUUUCCGCAAACUCCCGCAACCGCAACCGCACCCGCUGCGUUUAAAACAGUCAGGCCCUAAAUCGAUAUUAAUACAAGAUGGUAUACUACAUGUGAAACUCUAAAAUUAACAAUCAAAAUACAAGUGUAUAAUUUUAAACACUAAA